rnacentral:rRNA from 1 species
GAUGAACGCUGGCGGCGCGCCUAAUACAUGCAAGUCGAGCGAACAGACGAGGAGCUUGCUCCUCUGACGUUAGCGGCGGACGGGUGAGUAACACGUGGAUAACCUACCUAUAAGACUGGGAUAACUUCGGGAAACCGGAGCUAAUACCGGAUAAUAUAUUGAACCGCAUGGUUCAAUAGUGAAAGACGGUUUUGCUGUCACUUAUAGAUGGAUCCGCGCCGCAUUAGCUAGUUGGUAAGGUAACGGCUUACCAAGGCAACGAUGCGUAGCCGACCUGAGAGGGUGAACGGCCACACUGGAACUGAGACGCGGUCCAGGCUCCUACGGGAGGCAGCAGUAGGGAAUCUUCCGCAAUGGGCGGAAGCCUGACGGAGCAACGCCGGGUGAGUGAUGAAGGUCUUCGGAUCGUAAAACUCUGUUAUUAGGGAAGAACAAAUGUGUAAGUAACUAUGCACGUCUUGACGGUACCUAAUCAGAAAGCCACGGCUAACUACGU